AGGACGGCUUUGCAUACGUUGGCGCCUGCUGCGUCGCACACCAUAUCCAGGAGCGGAUCUACGGAUUCUGAUCUUUGCCAUAUAAAUUUUCCAAGUGUCCUUCCUAUAAGCGUAGUAUACGAGAGCAACGAGAAUAAGCCCCAAAAUUACAGACGGGACGGCGAUGGCUGCCUUGAUAUUUCUCCUUGGACCAUAGAAAGCUGCAUUCUCAGCGGCAGCGGUGGCACUAUCUAAAUCCUUGGCAAGUAAGAUUCUUGGUCCGGUAAGCAGCGUCAUAUUGUUUUCACUAAU